rnacentral:piRNA from 1 species
UUCAGCAGCGCUGUGAUGGAAUCUGAGGAGC